AUUCGUAGGCUUGUUGUGGACAGAUGAAGUGGAUGUGCGAAUCAAACCCACCGGCAGUGACAAUCAUCCCUUCUCCAGCAAUAACAUCUGUGUUUGAUCCAACGACCAUACUUGGAUCUACCCCUUCCAUAACAUCGGGAUUACCGGCCUUGCCUAUACCGACAAUAACUCCGUAUUUGAUUCCAAUAUCAGCCUUGUAGAUGCCCGACCAAUCCACGAUGAGAGCAUUGACGAUGACAGUAUCCAGUGAUUCAGUAUCGGGUCUGCCAGUUGCUUGGCCCAUACCCUCACGUAAU
rnacentral:sRNA from 1 species